rnacentral:tRNA from 1 species
UUAACUUACUUAAUAACUUAUUUAAAGUAUAGGUUUUUUAAACCUGUAAUGGCUCCAACCUUAAAAUU